CUUUUUGCAGGACAACACCUUCUCUUGGAAAGCUUUUCAUUUGCAAGGUUCCUUUACGUGUCAUUUCCAAGUAUCUUGCUGAGCUGAGGUAUGGAAACAGAAAGUACUUUGGUUAACAUCCAUAUUGAAUAGCGGUGAGAAGAAACAGGAUUUCAAAAUCGGAUGCUGAACCUGAACACAUAAUGUAUCAGAAAACACAUGAAGGUAUCAAUGUUGGGGACCUCUAAUCACUUAGCUUGCAUGUCUCAGACGCUGAAUUUGAAGUUCAUCGAC